rnacentral:rRNA from 1 species
GAUGAACGCUGGCGGCGUGCCUAAUACAUGCAAGUCGAGCGAACGGACGAGAAGCUUGCUUUUCUGAUGUUAGCGGCGGACGGGUGAGUAACACGUGGAUAACCUACCUAUAAGACUGGGAUAACUUCGGGAAACCGGAGCUAAUACCGGAUAAUAUUUUGAACCGCAUGGUUCAAAAGUGAAAGACGGUCUUGCUGUCACUUAUAGAUGGAUCCGCGCUGCAUUAGCUAGUUGGUAAGGUAACGGCUUACCAAGGCAACGAUGCAUAGCCGACCUGAGAGGGUGAUCGGCCACACUGGAACUGAGACACGGUCCAGACUCCUACGGGAGGCAGCAGGAGGGAAUCUUCCGCAAUGGGCGAAAGCCUGACGGAGCAACGCCGCGUGAGUGAUGAAGGUCCUCGGAUCGUAAAACUCUGUUAUUAGGGAAGAACAUAUGUGUAAGUAACUGUGCACAUCUUGACGGUACCUAAUCAGAAAGCCACGGCUAACUACGU